rnacentral:lncRNA from 1 species
GAAUAAAAUGUUGGGAAACGUGAAGAGAGAUGUUUCAGCAAGUAGAUCUCUUUUGGGCAAAUUGAAAGCAGUGGCAUCACCCUGAGGCAAUCAGCAUCCCAAUUCAUCAGGAUGCUGGGAUGAAAGCUUUGUAGAUCCUGAAUUUGCCCAACAACCUGCUGAAUGCUUUUCCGAAUUGUCCCUAUCAAUCGGGCACAGAUCAUCUAUUUAAACAUACGAAAUGGCUUGACACUAAUAGCAUUUCUUCCAUUUUGGAAAAAAAAAUAAGGACUGAUAUCCAUAGAAGUAAAAAAACAAAAACUUCAGGAAAACAUCAUUAUAUAAGGGGGUGGUAUGUACCUUGAUAACAUAAAACGAUUUUACGUAAGAGAAUCUAUCAACUGAACUCAUUUGUUUGGGUAUAAUAAAGAUAUAUAUCCUUAUAAUUG